rnacentral:RNase_P_RNA from 1 species
AAGAACGGGCGGACGGCCGCUCCUGGAUCUCACCCCUCCGCUCCGCGGAGUGUGGAAGACCCGGGGGAGGAAAGUCCGAGCUCCACAGGGCAGGGUGGUCGCUAACGGCGACCGGGGCGCGACGCGAGAAGCGCUCCAGGGACAGUGCCACAGAGACCAGACCGCCGAUCGCCCGGGCCGCGAGGUCCGGGAGGAGGCAAGGGUGAAACGGUGGAGUAAGAGCCCACCGCCUGCACGGCGACGUGCAGGGCAUGGCAAACCCCACCCGGAGGAAGGCCAAAUAGGACGGCGUCCGAGACCGGCCCGGUCGAAGCCGUCGGGUAGGCCGUUCGAAGCGGCGGGCAACCGCCGUCCCAGAUGAAUGGCCGUCGCCGUCGUUCCGUGAGGAGCGGCGGAACAGAACUCGGCUUACAGCCCGUUCCAACAG